CGUGUAGGCGGGGAUGUAAGUCAGAUGUGAAAUACCCAGGCUUAACUUGGGAACUGCAUCUGAAACUAUAUUUCUUGAGUGUCGGAGAGGAAAGUGGAAUUCCCAGUGUAGCGGUGAAAUGCGUAGAUAUUGGGAGGAACACCAGUGGCGAAGGCGACUUUCUGGACGAUAACUGACGCUGAGGCGCGAAAGCGUGGGGAGCAAACAGGAUUAGAUACCCUGGUAGUCCACGCUGUAAACGAUGGAUACUAGGUGUAGGAGGUAUCGACCCCUUCUGUGCCGGAGUUAACACAAUAAGUAUCCCACCUGGGGAGUACGGCCGCAAGGUUGAA
rnacentral:rRNA from 1 species